UACGUAGGGUGCGAGCGUUGUCCGGAAUUAUUGGGCGUAAAGAGCUCGUAGGCGGCCUGUCGCGUCGGAUGUGAAAGCCCGGGGCUUAACCCCGGGUCUGCAUUCGAUACGGGCAGGCUAGAGUGUGGUAGGGGAGAUCGGAAUUCCUGGUGUAGCGGUGAAAUGCGCAGAUAUCAGGAGGAACACCGAUGGCGAAGGCGGAUCUCUGGGCCAUUACUGACGCUGAGGAGCGAAAGCGUGGGGAGCGAACAGG
rnacentral:rRNA from 1 species